rnacentral:tRNA from 1 species
GGAGGUAUGUGGUAGAAUGUGUGCUUAGCAUGCAUGAGUUCCUGGGUUCAAUCCCCAAUACCUCCA